GCAACACACAUUUUAUUUCACAUGCACUCAUGGAUGUUUUCCAUGUUAAUAAUAUAAAUUUUUGACCAUUAUUUUAUUAAGUCUAACUCAAAGUGCCUCCACGAAAACUUUUGCUCUCACCCCUCUCUCUUCCUGCUAGUGUCACAAUAAUAACAAAGCAGUUUGUUUUUUCAUCUGGUGGUGCAUCAUAAAUUAAGUGCGCUUAAAUCACAGAAUCAGUGCUGGAAUUUAAUAUUAAUUGAAGUUUCCGGAUAAUCGCAUCAUGAUGCCUCGUAUGCGACAACAGGAGAAAAUUCAUUCAGAUGCAGAAAUCCCAAGCAACGCUCAUAUUUUUCUCCAAGUCCUAUUGUUGCGGUCUUGUUUUCAGAGCAGUUCGGUGUCGGAAGUCGGAGAAAAUUACCGAGAAACCGGGAGAUAAAUAGCCCACAUAUUUCAACAUUAGUAACCGGAGGAAACGGCCAUAUCAGCAUGCUAAUAUACGCGGUCCGACAAGUGGCCCGGAAGAGGCCACCUUUACAAUAUUAUUUCGAGAGUUACCUUAAGCUUCAAACAAUCAAAUAAAACUAAAAAAAAUAA